rnacentral:rRNA from 1 species
AGAGUUUGAUCCUGGCUCAGAAUGAACGCUGGCGGCGUGCUUAACACAUGCAAGUCGCACGAGAACGCUUCAGCUUGCUGAAGUUAGUAAAGUGGCGCACGGGUGAGUAACGCGUGGGUAAUCUACCUCCGAAUUGGGGAUAACAUUGCGAAAGCGAUGCUAAUACCGGAUAAUAUCUAAAAAAUUUCGAUUUUUAAGAUCAAAGGUGACCUCUACAUGUAAGUUACUGUUUGGAGAUGAGCCCGCGUACCAUUAGCUUGUUGGUAGGGUAAUGGCCUACCAAGGCUACGAUGGUUAGCUGGUCUGAGAGGAUGAUCAGCCACACUGGAACUGACACACGGUCCAGACUCCUACGGGAGGCAGCAGUGGGGAAUUUUGCGCAAUGGGGGAAACCCUGACGCAGCAACGCCGCGUGAGUGAUGAAGGCUUUCGGGUCGUAAAGCUCUGUCAAGUGGGAAGAACCUGCAUGAUGCUAAUAUCAUCGUGCACUGACGUACCACUGAAGAAGCACCGCUAACU